CAGCGAGGGGGGCCCGGGGGCUGCCCCCCAGCGACCCGCGGGCCAUUUCGCAAAC
rnacentral:precursor_RNA from 1 species